rnacentral:rRNA from 1 species
UCGAGAGUUUGAUCCUGGCUCAGAGCGAACGCUGGCGGCAGGCCUAACACAUGCAAGUCGAACGGAUCCUUCGGGAUUAGUGGCGGACGGGUGAGUAACACGUGGGAACGUGCCCUUUGGUUCGGAACAACUCAGGGAAACUUGAGCUAAUACCGGAUGUGCCCUUCGGGGGAAAGAUUUAUCGCCAUUGGAGCGGCCCGCGUCUGAUUAGCUAGUUGGUGGGGUAAAGGCCCACCAAGGCGACGAUCAGUAGCUGGUCUGAGAGGAUGAUCAGCCACAUUGGGACUGAGACACGGCCCAAACUCCUACGGGAGGCAGCAGUGGGGAAUCUUGCGCAAUGGGCGAAAGCCUGACGCAGCCAUGCCGCGUGAAUGAUGAAGGUCUUAGGAUUGUAAAAUUCUUUCACCGGGGACGAUAAUGACGGUACCCGGAGAAGAAGCCCCGGCUAACUUCGUGCCAGCAGCCGCGGUAAUACGAAGGGGGCUAGCGUUGCUCGGAAUUACUGGGCGUAAAGGGAGCGUAGGCGGACUGUUAAGUUAGAGGUGAAAGCCCAGGGCUCAACCUUGGAAUUGCCUUUGAUACUGGCAGUCUUGAGUACGGAAGAGGUAUGUGGAACUCCGAGUGUAGAGGUGAAAUUCGUAGAUAUUCGGAAGAACACCAGUGGCGAAGCGACAUACUGGUCCGUUACUGACGCUGAGGCUCGAAAGC